AGGAGAUCUCUAAUCAGAGCGCUUCGUUCCCACCCAACUCCACUCCCCUCCCGUCCCCCCCUCCCCUCCUAGGUCAGUCUUCAGGAAAAAAAAAAAAAAAGGAAAAAUGGGGGAGAUACAAGGAUGACUUUAAAAAUAUUAAUAAUCGUAUAAAAGAAAGCCCAAAAUGGGUGGCAGGGGGGUGGGGUUCUAAGAGGCUGAACCAAAGCAGGUGGAAUUGAAGGAAUGAUCAGCGCGCUUUUUCUUGGAUGAAAACUCGCAGGUGUCUGAGGCUCCCCAGGCUUAGCGAGGGUUUCUGGAUCUUAACGUGCCUCCUGGUCCACGGAAACUCGCGGGCGCGGCUGGAACGCGAGGUGGUUUCCACCCUCCUGCCUAAUCCCUCCAGCUCCGGAGCCUCUCCACCCCGGGAAGGAGGAGAGGGGAGGAGGGAGCUUGGGAGGGAAGCGAGUGGGUCCUGAGAAGGGAGGCGUCUCCACUCCCUACCUAAUCCACCCAGACUCGCCGGACUAUUCCUUCGUCUAGCUGCCCGGAGAAGUAGGCUUGCCAUCCUGAAACCGUAGCAGAGCAAGAAGGAGGGAGGAGGGGAGGGGAGAAGACCCCACCUCACCCCCUACCCCGCCCCGCCUUCCCAGAUUUACUCUGUAGCACUCGGAGGAAGAGAUGGCUGCAGCUGUAGCUGCUACAGAACAGCAGCGGGGACGGAACAUUGAAGAAGUCACUACAGAAUAUUAAGGGCGGGGAGAGUGACACAGUAUUCCAGUAACAAGAGAAAGCAGCCAGACUGAGGGACACUCCAAUUAGAGCUGGUGUCCCUGGGUAGAGAGCCAGGGAGCAAAGCGGAUGAACUGUGUCUGACAUUCAAACACAACAGCUGCUGCCUAGUCUCCCUGAUUUCCUGUCUGUGUCCCAACAGCAGUUCCGUGUUGGGUGAGCGAAAAUAUGAAGGUCCAGGAGGAGAGGAGCAAGUGGAGGGCGCCCUAGAAAAGGAGGUUGGGAGAGAAACAAUUCACGCCUGGGUGAACGCAGAUCCAUGGUUUCUAGGAUACACUCGGAGCGUCAGAACUAGGAGUAGCUUGUGCUCCUGUGGUUUCUCACCUUUCCCUCUUUCCUUUAUACUGCUUGUCAUUCCAGGAAGGCAAAGAAAAGAAAUGGGCGAACUAGACAUCUCACAAUCGGGUGUGAAGAAUGGAGGAAAGAAAACUCAUUUGGAAUAGGCGGCAAAGUACCACGCAGACCUGCAACCAGGCAAGUGGG
rnacentral:lncRNA from 1 species